rnacentral:rRNA from 1 species
UACCAGCACCCCGAGUGGUCGGGACGAUUAUUGGGCCUAAAGCAUCCGUAGCCGGUCCUGCAAGUCUUCCGUUAAAUCCAGCUGCUCAACAGAUGGGCUGCGGGGGAUACUACAGGGCUAGGAGGCGGGAGAGGCAAGCGGUACUUUAUGGGUAGGGGUAAAAUCCGUUGAUCCAUAGAAGACCACCAGUGGCGAAGGCGGCUUGCCAGAACGUGCUCGACGGUGAGGGAUGAAAGCUGGGGGAGCAAACCGG